AUACUUGCAGCACCAGCACGACAAUAAAAUUGGAACAUUAUGGAGGUUAGCGUGGGCCUGUGCAAGGAUGACACAAAAGUUCGUCAAGUGUUCCCAGUUUCU
rnacentral:snRNA from 1 species